AGAUCUAUUUUCCGUCUUUCUUCAUCUCAUGAUCUUUGGUCUUCUGGCGGUGAUUGAUUGAAGAGUCUGUUCGAUCGUUGCGUGAUGUCGGAGGCCUAUGAGAAAUCUCCAUCGCUAGGGUCGAUCUCUUGUUCAUUUCCGAUUGCCGGUGAUUUCUUUCCGUGGAGAUCCAAAUUCAGGUUUCUCAUAUGAAAUUUCAGAUGUAGUUAUCUAACUAUUCUGCCGCCUUUCAAUCUAAGAUCGGUGUUUAGGAUGUUGAUUAAUCUUUAUUUUGAGGGUUCUCACUGAAUACAAGGACGGCUGGAGAAGCUUCUAUGUUACGGCGAGGUGGACGAUUGUUACUGAUAUAUCAGUCGUUUGUUUCCAGCCGUAGGGGACUCUUCCCUGUGAUCUGAGGUGCUGUAACAUGUAAUUUCAUCAGAGGAAGGUCGAUUCUAUUAGAUUGUUGUCAUGGAUGUAUGAGAUAUCAGGCCGGAACAUCCCUAUGCUUUUAGGGAGACGGCUUUUGAUUGAUCUUUGUCAUCCGACCUUUGCCAUGACAGGUGCGCUUGCAUGGCAGGUCAAAUAUUUAAUGAAAAAUAAUUUUUGGGUUUUGAGGAGGGAUCGCACGGGUAUUUCCCGGGGUCUCUCCUCACCGGUGUGUGCCGACUCCUCUAUUUUUCUUUCUCUGUGCAUAUUAUGCUCGGCUGCCUCCCACUUCUUGCGUUGUCAGGGUUCGUCUGCUAUUGAACCUGUGCUCGAUGUUGCGAAAGGUAUUCACCAAAACUUCUCUGAUCUAAAUCAAUUCGUUAAAAUCACAGAUAAAACAGCAACCUUAAUAACAGUGGUAAGUCAACUUUGAUUGGUCUUCGAUAAUUUGGUGGUGUAGGAAAUUGAAUUUAAUUUUACCGUAAAAUAGUCUCAUUUUUGUAGAUUAUUGUUUCACUACCAAUUGGCUUCUGUGCGAGUUUAAUCCAGAUUUAUCAUACCCCCGUGAAUAGUAAGCAUUAUCAAUGUGGCUGUUAAAUUAUGUGCUCAUUGCUUCGAACAUACUAUUUUUUGUAACCUUUGAAAUCUGAUGUGUCGUACAAGUUAUAACGUUUAUAUCAAAUAUUUAGAUGUCAUUGCGGCCGCCUGGCUAUAUGCACUCAAUGACAAUUUUUUUUGUUUGCCACUUUAUCGACUCUAUUUCUAUUAUUUGAUACUUUUAUCAAGGAUACUUGUAAUUUAUUUUGUUUAAUCAAUUGAGAAAUAUGUUGAGGGAAGAUUUGUGUCUUGUAUUGUGUCCUUCCGUCGAAUGCUUCUGGUGUUUAGUUUUCGUUAUUUCAUAGCUUCCUUACUGUAAAGCAUAGAAAUGGAAACACUCCCAUCUAUAUCGUCUUGGGUCGAGCUGAGGAUCGCAUGGUUGAGAACAAGGUGUAUGCUAAGCCAGCCGGAACAGCAGAUUUUUGUUAAAUGUUGGAGAUGUGCAAGUGGGAAUCUAGCCAAUUCGGUAACUGAAUUCUCGAGAUUUAUCAUUUAAUUAAGCCCAAAAUAUAGAUGUUUCAAUCUUUGUACCUAAUCUUCUUGUUGUACGGCUUCAUAAUUGUUUCAGUUCAGAAUUUGUCUUUUCCCGUCUUAAUCUAUCUUUUGUGGAAUAGUUUUGCCCACAAACAAAACAGGAGUCUUAUUUAUUUGUCAUGAUUUUUUAUAAAAUGUUAUAAGAUGAUAUUGUUACUUGGAUAAAGUUUUGUUCUGUAAAUUAUUUUAUUCAGGGGAUUUGAUUAUGGUUCAGUAAAAUUAGGAUGUACAGAGUGUGCCUGUCAUGAUUUUUUCCUGAAUGAGUGCACCAUACGAUAUUAUAACAUUGAAUUAUUGGUUUCGUGUAGACAGGUAACGUUUGUAAAUAUUUAUUUUCAAGGUAGUUGAUUGUAGUUUAGAAAAUCUGGGUAUGUUGGUUAUCUGGUGCAAUAAAAUUGUUUUCAUUGUUCUCUGGAUACGAGUAGAAUUACUUGUUCAUUUUAAAUUUGAAUGUUUUCUUGAACUAUGCAAGUUAAGCUUUUGAUAUUGUAAAUGUAUAAUUUUUAUCUAAUUUUUAAUUAAUGAAGUAAUUUGUUAUUAACCAUUUAUAAAAUUAUGCUCCGAAACAGUACUAUAAAAAUAGAAUUGUAUGGAAGAAUAUACAAUUAUAUUAAGUUGGUAUUAGAUUAAAAUUUUCGUUCACAACUCCGUAUAGGCACAACCUCAGUUUGGUUUCUCUAGCUUGGGUAUGAAAUUAGGUUUUAAAUUUUUUAAUUUUUAGUCUCUGGGCUUGUUUUGAAUUUUGUUUCUUCUGAGUUUCAAUUGAGUAUUAAUGGGAAGACCCGGCCCAAUCAAUGGUUUCUUCUGAGUUUCAAUUGGGUAUUAAUACAAAGACCUGGCCCAUUCAAAUCGAAAUCAACUUGGUUAGAGGCUGAAUCCAAAUUAUCUUACAGAUUAUCUAUAACUUUGUCUUGUUUCCUCCAAAAUUUUUGUUUGUUUCAAACUUGGUGGAUUUAAUUUGGUUGGUCAGAUAAGAAUAUUUUUCAUAGUUACUACAUUAUAUAAUACGGAUGUUUUCAUAUUUUUUAUUUAUGAUAAACUUUGUAAAGGAAACCAGGUUGUUGAACCAUAGGGACAAAUUAAUCAUAUCUAUAAUUAAACAUAAAGCAUAUUAAUCCAAUUUACGAGUUAGCCUAAUACCUACAGUACUAACUUUUUUGAAUAACGGCCUACAAAUAACAUACUUCGGAUUGUAGUGUAUCACCCCUUUUAAACUAGAAUAGGGAUUUCUUUAGUUCAGCACUAAGGAUUUGAAUCUCCACCGUGGUUGUGUGUGGUUGUGUGUGGUUGUGUGUGGUGCUGAUACUCCGGGAUUUGAAUCUAUACCGUGGUUGUGUUGUUUCUAUAUAUGUCCAUUGAGUUUCAAACUGUAACCUUCAGUACUAAGUUCUCAUUGCCAUUGCUUUAUAGAUGUAGCAUUUUUCCUUGAUUGUCAUCAACGCAUGUAUUUGUAUUUGAAGUCUGAGACAGGUUAUUAAUUUGCGGCAUAUGUUGUUGAACUUCGCAAAUGAGCAGGAUUAUUGUAUGGUGUAUUGUCUGUGGAACGGGGGAAUGUGCUCUUUUCUUCGGCUACUUAUUUGUUCCUGUUCCGGUGGUAGUGUUGUCCUUCGACACAGGAAGAUAGCAGGUAAACACCAGGCUUUCUGUAUAUCUGAUUUUUUCCCGGAUAUAUUUGAGUUCAAUAUGCCUGUAGAAAUAAUUUGGGAGAGACCUGUAGCUCAAUGGUGGCAGAGCGCUCAUGGCCGUUUUAGGUUUUGAGAGGUUGGUGGUUCGAAUCCAUCCGGGUCUGAUUGAACUAAAUGUAGUAUUUCGUUCAUCAUCAUGUUUAUAAUGCCCUUUAUGUUACUGCUUUCCAUUGUCCGAUGCUUGUGUAGGUGGCACAUGUCCAUCCUACCAUCGGAAUGCGGGUCGGUGUCGUGAGUAGUUUCUUUCUUUUCAGUUGAAAAUCCUUGAUGAAUUAUGAUCUCAUUUUCUUAGAAUGUAUAAUAAUCUAAUAUAUAGGAGAGCCUGAUCUGAGGAUCCAGUUAUAUAUCUAGGCAUCGGUGGUUUCCAUACCCUGAAGGCCGAAUGUCCUGUUCGUACAAGGUGUGCGGAGAUGGA